rnacentral:misc_RNA from 1 species
UUUCCGUAGGUGAACCUGCGGAAGGAUCAUUACAGAGUUCAUGCCCGAAAGGGUAGACCUCCACCCCUUUAGUAUUUUGACUUUGUUGCUUUGGCGAGCGCAACCUCGCCAGAGAAUACCAAAACCCUUUUUAUUAAUGUCGUCUGAGUACUAUAAAAUAAUAAAAACUUUCAACAACGGAUCUCUUGGUUCUG